rnacentral:rRNA from 1 species
CCCUUAGAUGUUCUGGGCAGCACGCGCGCUACAAUGGUCUUCGCAAACGGAUGCAUUCUCGAAGGAGAAUGCCAAUCUUGGAAUCUAUGCCUUGGUCGGGACAGUUGCUUGCAAUUUUUCGACUCGAACCAGGAAUUCCUUGUAAUCGUGAUUCAUCACAUCACGAUGAAUACGUCCCUGCCCUUUGUACACACCGCCCGUCGCUCCUACCGAUCGAAGAGUUAGGUGAAUUGUUUUGAUCGAUAAGAUUUGACUAUGGACAACUCUCGUUGUGAAAUUCUGUGAAUCUGACUGUUUAGAGGAAGGAAAAGUCGUAACA